CACCGCACUUCUUCCGCACCGCA
rnacentral:siRNA from 1 species